rfam:Gossypium hirsutum cultivar TM-1 unplaced genomic scaffold scaffold1917.1, whole genome shotgun sequence
UGUUAAAAAUUCCAUUAAUUUGUACUAUUAAAAACUGGCAUGGUUGACAGAACAAUCAAAUAAUGACAAAUUUACCUCAUUGUAAUGUAUAGGACAAACUUUUAACAGCAAAAAUGGAUGAAAUUUUUAACA